GACGAACGCUGGCGGCGUGCCUAAUACAUGCAAGUCGAACGCAGUGGGGACGGGUGAGUAACACGUGGGUAACCUCCCAUCAGAGGGGAUAACACUUGGAAACAGGUGCUAAACCGAUACUGAUGGAUGGACCCGCGGUGCAUUAGCUAGUUGGUGGGGUAACGGCUCACCAAGGCCACGAUGCAUAGCCGGCCUGAGAGGGUGAUGAGCCACACUGGGACUGAGACACGGCCCAGACUCCUACGGGAGGCAGCAGUGGGGAAUAUUGGGCAAUGGACGAAAGGCUGACCGAGCCAUGCCGCGUGGAUGAAGAAGGCUUUAGGGUUGUAAAACUCUUUUGGUAGGGAAGCGGUAUCUAACGAGAAAGCCACGGCUAACUACGUGCCAGCAGCCGCGGUAAUAC
rnacentral:rRNA from 1 species